CCAUCUCUAUGGAUAGCUAGAUUAUCAUCUCCAAACAACUGAGAAUACCCUUCGUCAAAUGACAGAAUUGGGAGCCUUUUUUCAGACCAAGAAACAACAACAGAAAGCAAAGUCAAAACCAAGAACAAAGAAGAACCCAGAUAAGGUAGCUUCAUCACCAUUUUUUUUCCUUUAUUUUUUUUUUCUUCCUUGCUAUACGGUUGUAUUUCUUUUGCUCUUUCAAAGUGAGAUUAUAUAGGAGAAGAGAAGAGAAGAGUAUUAAGGAAGAAGAAGAACAGAUUGUUGAGAAAGAAAGAGAAGAAGAAGACGAAAGGAAUAAUCUCUACAGCUAUGGGAGGCGAUAGAGAGAGCCGAAAAGGCUAUUGAAGGGG
rnacentral:lncRNA from 1 species